rnacentral:rRNA from 1 species
UACGGAGGAUCCAAGCGUUAUCCGGAAUCAUUGGGCUUAAAGGGUCCGUAGGCGGUUUAAUAAGUCAGUGGUGAAAGCCCAUCGCUCAACGGUGGAACGGCCAUUGAUACUGUUAAACUUGAAUUAUUAGGAAGUAACUAGAAUAUGUAGUGUAGCGGUGAAAUGCUUAGAGAUUACAUGGAAUACCAAUGGCGAAGGCAGGUUACUACUAAUGGAUUGACGCUGAUGGACGAAAGCGUGGGUAGCGAACAGG